GCAUGAAGGAGUUGAUGCACCACAGUUGAGAGUAAGGGAAACUUCACUGUUAAAGUCUCAGCAGGACAUAAUCAGAAAGAUCUUGAUGAGCUACAGAAACAGUUCAAAUCUUCUCUGAUGCCGCAAGAAAUGUACUGCCACUUUUAGGGAGAAGGAAAGUGUUCAAAAGACACCAGGAAGCUCUUCACACAUUUUUCAACUUCAGUUAGAGAAAAGAGACAGCAAAACCAGGCAUACCUGAGAUAAAACAGGGAAGGAAAGACAGAGGCAGGCUCACCUCCAUCUACCAUCGAAAUGCAACUGCCUUUUCAACAACAACAGCUGUUUUAGGAAGUCUACAAAUCAUACACAAAAGCUCUGGGAAAGAAGCAAAGAGCUGCAGUUUGAAUCUGCAACAGGAAUUUCCAGGAAAAAAAGAAAAGAAAAAAAAAAAGCAAAUUGAAUAUUGUUCUCUCUAGUAGCUCUGCUAUCCAGUCUUCAACAACCACAAGUGGUCAGGGCCUCUCAUUUUGUAAGUCAAUUGUAAGGCAGCUGUUUUAUUUUCUAAGUGGGAAUAUAGUUCACCUUGAGCCCAACUUCAGUUGUUGCAACUUUUCUACCAUUAAAUAUAACACAAAAUAGAUUAUCAGCAUGGGGAGAGGAUAGAGAGUGUUUGAACAAAACAAGAUAUUAAUUUUCAACAUAGAAGAGAACUCUCAUCCUGGAAACACUGCUGUGCUAUUGUGUGAGGCACAGUUUUCAUCUGAAAUUGGACAAACCAUUUGGAAAGUAAUUCAGGUUUCUUUAAAUAGAGAAUAUAUUACACACAGAUGGUGAUGGAAGGAUUCAGUAUCCACAGCUAUGUUAACUGUAUGUAAUAAAUUAGAAAUAUCUUCUUUUAAUAGAUCCUAAUUGUGACAUUCUGCCCCAAAAACUCUUUUGGAAAUGCCCCAGCAUGUUCUACCUCUAACUCACUGUGAUCAUGUUUCUUUUGUUAAUUCUGCUGUUGUGGCAUUGCUACCAACUUCUCCUUUUUGUCUUGCAACUGAUGGCCAAUACUUGAUUCAAUAGCUGAGGGCAAAUUGAGCAUGCUUCAAGAACUAUAACUAAGAAUCAAUGAUCUGACUUCCAUCAAUAGUGAGCAGCCAAAAGCCUCUUGAGCCCUCCUGCACGGCAGCUGGUUCCAUGGCAGGAUUUCCCCUGGAGUAAGGACACCUCUUGAGAUUAUGCCUGAGCAGAGAUCCCUUAUACCUUGAUAUAGAUCCUUGGCAAAUUAUUAAUAUUUCUAAAAAGUCUGUUAGUAUUACUAAGAUUGUAUGUUGAAUGACCGAGCACAUAUAAUCCCUUGGACAUGAACGAAGACCCAGACUAAGUCUGGAAUGAGGAGUGGAUCCAGCUGCACCUAGGCUCCUUAUCUCUGUGGUUCAAGAAAUGUAAAAAGCACUGGAGUCCACUAUGAACCUCCUGACUCAACAGAGCCCUGGAUGAGGGCAUUAAAUCCACCUUCUAUGCAGUAAAUUGUCACGUGUAUGUUCCCAUCUUGAAUGUUGAUUACAAUUGAGCUUUGUUAAAUCACCACAUUCUAUCAAUAAAUAUAUUCCUGGUUCUCUGCUAUGAGCGCAUAGUUUCCAUCUGCAGCAGCCCAGUAUUUGAUUUCUCUCUGAUAGUCUCUUUCCUCACUCAGGGAAGGCUGAACAUUCUACCUCCCGUCUCAGCUAAUGUGAUCACAGGCUGAGGCAGGCU